GAAGCUUCUGAGCUCAGACUGAAGUUCCCAAAGAAAUAGCAACAUGCAAUAUGAUUUAUCAGGAUUUCCAAAUUAGUUUCCAACUGGUGGUUACUAAAAGACUCCAGUUUGUGGUUGAGCUUGUGGGUUGUCUGUUCACAUUAAAGACCCUGUUUCUUUUUCUAUCCCAUGCCUUAUAAUUACUAUGAUUUUCAACAUAUAUUUAAAACACCCACGUGGAUGUAAAAUAAUGUGAUGGAGUAAUACAAUAAUUCUUUGGGAGAAAUAGCACUCUUCAGAAUCCUUUUGGUAGGAGGUAAACAAACCAUAAUUAAAACCGAAUUAGAACAUGGAUUAGGUUAUUAUUUAUUGUGAGAAACAAUAAAUAGCAUUGAUCGGGCACGAAUUAUUCACCAGACAUUAUGUUAGUUGCUUUACGUCUCAAUGAAUCCUUUGGCUAAUCCUACACGGUCGGUACAUUUUUGUAUUCCCAUUUUAAAGAUGAGGAAACUAAGGUUCAGAGAGUUCGAGUGACCUGGCCAACGUGAGAAAUAACAGAGCCAGGAUUCUAGCAGUCAUACUUUUGCUGUUCGUUCUUAGGAUAAAAAUUUUCCCUUUUUAGAGAACAACUGGGAUGCGAGGAGGCCCCAGGUAUGAGCAUUUGGGGGUAUCUUCGUGAACAGUUCCUGCUAGGAGACAUGUGUUUGAAGAUGCUAAACAUGGAAGGGAGACCACACCAUGAUGGUGACAGCAAAGAAAAAGACCAGAAAAUGAACUAAUGACUGCCUGAAUAAGAAAUUCCAUGGGAAAUCACGAGAAAGAGCUAGAGUCAUAUAUACAAAAUACCAUUUGGCACCAUAAGGAAUGGGUUUGGAACAACUGGAUAUACUUCCACCCCAGGAAUUUCCAGGACAUCUGAAAUAACUAUUUCCUACAUGAGCGUCUUUCCCUCCCACCUCUUCUCUGCAAUCCCUAGAUUUAAGGGAUUAAUUACUGGGCAGACCAUACAUCAGUAUCUCUGGACACCAGGAAACAGCCUAUAUAGAAUUGGAAGAAGAGAGAGAAGGAAAAUGAGCAGCUAA
rnacentral:lncRNA from 9 species